AACGUAGGGGACAAGCGUUAUCCGGAUUUACUGGGCGUAAAGCGCCCGUAGGCGGCUUGAUAAGUUGGACGUGAAAGCUCCCGGCUUAACUGGGAGAGGCCGUUCAAAAACUGACAGGCUAGAGUGAGGAAGAGGAGAGCGGAAUUCCCGGUGGUAGUGGUGGAAUGCGUAGAUAUCGGGAGGAACACCGGUGGCGAAGGCGGCCACCUGGACGGUAACUGACGCUAAGACGCGAAAGCGUGGGGAGCAAACAGG
rnacentral:rRNA from 1 species